rnacentral:lncRNA from 1 species
UUUGUGUCCAUUUUAACCUGGUGAAAGAAAAUUCCAACAAAAAACCCACAGUGCUGGAGCAAGAAGAUCUCAGGCUGUGACCCUCUAGAGGGAAGCACUUUCUCUUGUCUAAAAGAAAAGAAAGCGCUUCUCUUUAGAGGAUUACUCUUUGAGAAAAGCAACGUUGAAGUUAAUGCUGAUCUUGGCAUUUGCAGAGCAUGCUUAUCAUCAGAGGUGGAUGAUGGUG